AAACUAUAAAAAAAAAGACUUUCGUUUCUAUUAUGUGAUUUAGAUUCCCAGCAUCGGAUUUCUGCUAGCAACACAUAUGUGGAGCUAUGAGGGAUGCUUGAUUCAAGUAAAUUCCUUCUCUUUGCAUGUUGGCGGCAUGAAGAUGGGUUCAUGGACGCUUGAAGAGAACGCUUGAAUUCCAGCAGUGGACAUGAUAUAUUGUGAGCAAUUACCAUGAACUGGAUCAAUCAUUCAGGCCCUAAGCAUAUUAGCAUGACUACAAGAACAAGGAACUAUCCAUGGCAGAUGUGUAGAGUCAAAGUGCAAUUCAUAGCGUGAGAGUAGUUUUUAUGAGAAUAUCCAGAUUGCCUGAGUACCAACUGCAUCUAGUACAUAUUCUCAGCAGCAAAAGAAUGAAUGGUUUGAAGUGAGCAUGAGAAAUUUUUUGAAACAAAGAAUGCUGCAGUUGAGAAAGCUGAGGCGGAAUCACAGCCUAAUCCCUAGUGAAGUCGCCAAAAAUGUAGGGGCACUUUUGAUCGGAGUUGUACGGCAGUGGAAUCAAGCCCAAAAUCUCGUCCCCUUUGUCUGAGUUAGCGAAGAUUAGGCCCAGCAAAAUUCGAAGGACUGAAAAUCCUAGGUAGUGUGCUGUUGUGUCCCUCCAAGCAGCUCUUCUCCAUGUUCACAGCAGUGAAUUAGUGUGCAAUUCUAGUAAAGGCUUGGCAAGAUAUGCGUGGCGUGGGAGCUAGAAAAGCAUGAGUUUCGGAAUAAGAAAUUCUGGCAAUGAUUGGUGCAUUGGUUGAGGUAUUCGGUAUAAGGGAUAGGAGUUGGAAAGGUAGAGGACUAAGGAUGGAUUUCGGAGAGAAGAAGCAUGGCAGAGAAGAUAUUUAUAUGAUCAAGCAUGAUAAGUUUGAAUCUACAUGGAGGUAAAGGAGUUUCUAGGUUUGGGAAUGGUUUCUAUGAUUCUAAUGGGGGAAUUGCUUGGUUGUUUAAUGGUUAGUGUGUGUUGCUCCUCCCUUCACAGCAACUAUAACUCUUAAUUUAUAGAGUGACGGUGGCUUAGGUUUAGGGCCGUUGCUGUUUCUAUGUUCCUAUGAAUCUUGCUGCUGUAAUCCCAGAAAUCCUGCUGCUGUGAUUCCAGGAUUCCCGCUGCUGUGAUCCCAAGAAUCGUGGUUUCAAGAUUUGC